GACGAACGCUGGCGGCGUGCUUAACACAUGCAAGUCGAACGGAAAGGCCCUGCUUUUGUGGGGUGCUCGAGUGGCGAACGGGUGAGUAACACGUGAGUAACCUGCCCUUGACUUUGGGAUAACUUCAGGAAACUGGGGCUAAUACCGGAUAGGAGCUCCUGCUGCAUGGUGGGGGUUGGAAAGUUUCGGCGGUUGGGGAUGGACUCGCGGCUUAUCAGCUUGUUGGUGGGGUGGUGGCUUACCAAGGCUUUGACGGUAGCCGGCCUGAGAGGGUGACCGGCCACAUUGGGACUGAGAUACGGCCCAGACUCCUACGGGAGGCAGCAGUGGGGAAUAUUGCACAAUGGGCGGAAGCCUGAUGCAGCAACGCCGCGUGCGGGAUGACGGCCUUCGGGUUGUAAACCGCUUUCGCCUGUGACGAAGCGUGAGUGACGGUAAUGGGUAAAGAAGCACCGGCUAACUACGUG
rnacentral:rRNA from 1 species